UACGGAGGGGGUUAGCGUUGUUCGGAAUGACUGGGCGUAAAGCGCGCGUAGGCGGGCUGGAAAGUUGGGGGUGAAAUCCCGGGGCUCAACCCCGGAAUGGCCUUCAAAACUCCCAGCCUAGAGUUUGAGAGAGGUGAGUGGAAUUCCGAGUGUAGAGGUGAAAUUCGUAGAUAUUCGGAGGAACACCAGUGGCGAAGGCGGCUCACUGGCUCGACACUGACGCUGAGGUGCGAAAGCGUGGGGAGCAAACAGG
rnacentral:rRNA from 1 species